rnacentral:rRNA from 1 species
AUUGAACGCUGGCGGCAUGCCUUACACAUGCAAGUCGAACGGCAGCACGGGAGCAAUCCUGGUGGCGAGUGGCGAACGGGUGAGUAAAGCAUCGGAACGUGCCCAGUCGUGGGGGAUAACGUAGCGAAAGCUACGCUAAUACCGCAUACGAUCUGUGGAUGAAAGCGGGGGACCGUAAGGCCUCGCGCGAUUGGAGCGGCCGAUGUCAGAUUAGGUAGUUGGUGAGGUAAAGGCUCACCAAGCCGACGAUCUGUAGCUGGUCUGAGAGGACGACCAGCCACACUGGGACUGAGACACGGCCCAGACUCCUACGGGAGGCAGCAGUGGGGAAUUUUGGACAAUGGGCGCAAGCCUGAUCCAGCAAUGCCGCGUGCAGGAUGAAGGCCUUCGGGUUGUAAACUGCUUUUGUACGGAGCGAAACGGCUUCCACUAAUACUGGGGGCUAAUGACGGUACCGUAAGAAUAAGCACCGGCUAACUACGUGCCAGCCGCCGCCGUAA